rnacentral:tRNA from 1 species
GCGAGGGUAGCUCAACGGUAGAGCUUCACGUUGCCAACGUGAAUGUUGCGGGUUCGAGCCCCGUCCCUCGCU